CGGGGCGUAGCGCAGCGGUUUAGCGCGCUUGGUUCGGGACCAAGAGGUCGCUGGUUCAAAUCCAGUCGCCCCGA
rnacentral:tRNA from 1 species